GUCUUCGUGGUGUAACGGUAACACACUCGGCUCCUACUCGAGAGGUCCAGGUACGAGUCCCGGUGACA
rnacentral:tRNA from 1 species